AUCCAGCUGACGAAACCCAAAUAGAACGAAACGCGAGUCCUGGAU
rfam:Schistosoma rodhaini strain Burundi genome assembly, scaffold: SROB_scaffold0011094